CCUACGGGCGGCAGCAGUGGGGAAUAUUGGACAAUGGGGGCAACCCUGAUCCAGCCAUGCCGCGUGUGUGAAGAAGGCCCUCGGGUUGUAAAGCACUUUCAGUGAGGAAGAACGCCUGGUGGUUAAUACCCAUCAGGAAAGACAUCACUCACAGAGGAAGCACCGGCUAACUCCGUGCCAGCAGCCGCGGUAAUACGGAGGGUGCGAGCGUUAAUCGGAAUUACUGGGCGUAAAGCGCGCGUAGGUGGCUUGAUAAGCCGGUUGUGAAAGCCCCGGGCUCAACCUGGGAACGGCAUCCGGAACUGUCAAGCUAGAGUGCAGGAGAGGAAGGUAGAAUUCCCGGUGUAGCGGUGAAAUGCGUAGAGAUCGGGAGGAAUACCAGUGGCGAAGGCGGCCUUCUGGACUGACACUGACACUGAGGUGCGAAAGCGUGGGUAGCAAACAGGAUUAGAUACCCGAGUAGUC
rnacentral:rRNA from 1 species